UGGCUCAGAUUGAACGCUGGCGGCAUGCUUUACACAUGCAAGUCGAACGGCAGCACAGGGAGCUUGCUCCCGGGUGGCGAGUGGCGCACGGGUGAGUAAUACAUCGGAACGUGUCCUGUUGUGGGGGAUAACUGCUCGAAAGGGUGGCUAAUACCGCAUGAGACCUGAGGGUGAAAGCGGGGGAUCGCAAGACCUCGCGCAAUUGGAGCGGCCGAUGCCCGAUUAGCUAGUUGGUGAGGUAAAGGCUCACCAAGGCGACGAUCGGUAGCUGGUCUGAGAGGACGACCAGCCACACUGGGACUGAGACACGGCCCAGACUCCUACGGGAGGCAGCAGUGGGGAAUAUUGCACAAUGGGCGAAAGCCUGAUGCAGCAACGCCGCGUGAAGGAUGAAGGGUUUCGGCUCGUAAACUUCUAUCAAUAGGGAAGAAACAAAUGACGGUACCUAAAUAAGAAGCCCCGGCUAACUACGUGCCAGCAGCCGCGGUAAUACGUAGGGGGCAAGCGUUAUCCGGAAUUAUUGGGUUUAAAGGGAGCGUAGGCCGUCUUAUAAGCGUGUUGUGAAAUGUCGGGGCUCAACCUGGGCAUUGCAGCGCGAACUGUGAGACUUGAGUGCGCAGGAAGUAGGCGGAAUUCGUCGUGUAGCGGUGAAAUGCUUAGAUAUGACGAAGAACUCCGAUUGCGAAGGCAGCCUGCUGUAGCGCAACUGACGCUGAAGCUCGAAAGCGUGGGUAUCGAACAGGAUUAGAUACCCUGGUAGUCCACGCGGUAAACGAUGGAUGCUCGCUGUUUGCGUCUGACGUAAGCGGCCAAGCGAAAGCGUUAAGUAUUCCACCUGGGGAGUACGCCGGCAACGGUGAAACUCAAAGGAAUUGACGGGGGCCCGCACAAGCGGAGGAACAUGUGGUUUAAUUCGAUGAUACGCGAGGAACCUUACCCGGGCUUGAACUGCCAGUGACUCAUGCAGAGACGCAUGUUUCUUCGGACACUGGCGGAGGUGCUGCAUGGUUGUCGUCAGCUCGUGCCGUGAGGUGUCGGCUUAAGUGCCAUAACGAGCGCAACCCUUCUCCCUGUUUGCCAUCGGGUUAAGCCGGGCACUCCAGGGACACUGCCAUCGUAAGAUGUGAGGAAGGUGGGGAUGACGUCAAAUCAGCACGGCCCUUACGUCCGGGGCUACACACGUGUUACAAUGGGCGGUACAGAAAGCAGCUACCCCGCGAGGGGAUGCCAAUCUCAAAAACCGUUCUCAGUUCGGACUGGAGUCUGCAACCCGACUCCACGAAGCUGGAUUCGCUAGUAAUCGCGCAUCAGCCAUGGCGUGGUGAAUACGUUCCCGGGCCUUGCACACACCGCCCGUA
rnacentral:rRNA from 1 species